rnacentral:rRNA from 1 species
UACAGAGGUCUCAAGCGUUGUUCGGAUUCAUUGGGCGUAAAGGGUGCGUAGGUGGCGCCGUUAGUCAGGUGUGAAAUUUCGGAGCUUAACUCCGAAACUGCAUUUGAUACUGCGGUGCUUGAGGACUGGAGAGGAGACUGGAAUUUACGGUGUAGCAGUGAAAUGCGUAGAUAUCGUAAGGAAGACCAGUGGCGAAGGCGGGUCUCUGGACAGAUCCUGACACUGAGGCACGAAGGCCAGGGGAGCAAACGGG